rnacentral:lncRNA from 1 species
GCCAGACCCGUUUUCUCCACCUUUAGUGUCUGCCAAAGGGGAUCUCUGCUCUGUGGCCAGCAUGGCAAUCCCGUGGGGAACCACACAGAAUGCCUUGCAGAAGCUUGGCUGUUCAGUACACUCACAUGACCAAAAGAAAUAAUGCUAAAUUCAGUCAGAUGCUGCAGUGAUGGAGGUAGAAAAUGCAAUGACUGAUUCAUCCAGAUACACUCAACUGGCUAAAGGAAAGGGGGUGCCCCAGCACAGGGACAGAAAAGGAGAAUUCCCACUUUGGAGUAGUUUAGGGAAAAAACUCGCAGUAAAACCCUUCAGGAAACAGUAGCCUCAUGGAAUAGUGAAUACUACACGUUGGGGAAAAGGGAGACAGGAUUUGUUUCCUGGGCAACUGGGGAACCAUAAAGAUGCUGGAUCACAGUUAGGAAAGAAGUGGAAACAUCUGAAAUAGGAAGGCAAGAAGAAGGGAUUUCUUCCUGCAGAUACAGCAUGAGAAGGAGAAAAAAGGGUAAUAGGAUGCACAGUUUUUAAUGAUUUUUUUUUAAAGUUGGGUUUAUUUGUAUGACAGCUCUGAAAUAGGGCAAAGUACAGAGAAGGGCAAUGCUGCAUAAUGUGAAUGAGGAAAGGGAACUGUUUGGCUUUUUCAUUUAAAUGCAUGAAAAUCUCUGUGAGGUCUGUCUGUGAUGAGAGGAGGGGUAUGAAUUUAAAAGAAUUAUGCUGAAGUAAACGAUGACUCCAGUGAGAGAACAAACUCGAGCUGGAGGCUCAUAAGCACAGCUGAAAUUAGGAACUGUGCUAAUAGUCCCAAGCUGUGUUUCAGGCUGAUGCAGAGUGGAGCACUGACUCAACAAACACGUCAGCAAGACAGAAUUUAACACCAGAAAAUCCUCUGUAGUUCUUUGGAAAUGAAAUGUGAGGCUACAGCCACAGGGACCCACAUUGUCUGCAGGGAUGGGAUGGAUGCAAUUGCUGUGGAAAGCAGCUGCCCAUCCACAGGGAUCUCCUGGCCCCACUGAGCUGCAACCUGAGAACACCCAGCAAGAGAAUCCUCAAGGAUGGAAAUCUGGAGGUUGCAGAAGAUACUCCUGCGAGUUAAACACUGAAUUAAUUUCCUUCUGCAAAGAGAGCUCUCCCUGGAAUACUGAGGUGCCUAAACAACUGAAAUACACUUCCAGACUGUUUCUGGGGCAGGAGCCCCAAAAUUCCUUUGGUACCCUCGUGGGAAAGCCCAGGAGCUUGCCACUGCUGCCACAUUAA